rnacentral:siRNA from 1 species
UCUUUAUUGAACCUGCCAUCA